UACGAAGGGGGCAAGCGUUGUCCGGAUUUAUUGGGCGUAAAGCGCGUGUAGGCGGCCAGGUAGGUCGGUUGUGAAAAUUGGAGGCUCAACCUCCAGACGUCGAUCGAAACCAUCUGGCUAGAGUCCGGAAGAGGAGAAUGGAAUUCCUGGUGUAGCGGUCGAAAUGCGCAGAUAUCAGGAAGAACACCGAUGGCGAAGGCAGUUC
rnacentral:rRNA from 1 species